UGAUAUCUGUUCUUGGAGGUAUAAUUUCAACUACUUGGUGUCCAUUCAAUGUAUCCACUAUGGUUAUUUCAUAUCCCUCCUUUUCUUUCCUUACAAUUUUGCUUACCAUACCUGCUGUUGUAACAUUAUAGACUGUAUUAUUACUCUUGCUCUCAUCGGGAUAAAUUUGACC